AAAUGCAAAAAAAACUCAAAAUAAAAAGACGCUCCCUCAACAAAAAUAUCCCCUCCCUCCCACAUCCGGGCCUACAUUCAAAACCUCCACACCAACAGCUUCCGCCUCUUGGAGAUGGCAUUCGAGAUGGCACAUCUAAGACCUCCACCACACCAGCAAGAACACGUUAUUUCUCAACGCAUACGAGCAAUCCCAGCAAUCCCUUCGACGUGACGUUUCUUAGGGGGGAAAAAAAGAGCACCAAGAAGAAAUAAUCCACUUCGAUAGAUAAAUUUACAGCAGCAAGAGAAAACAGGGAGAGUAGAAUAAAAAAGAGGAGCUCCGUGGAUAACUAUACCCCUAUCCCCAUGGCUAUCCCCCUCCUCCCUACCACCUGCCGCCCCAUCGCUACGUCCACCCAUCCAACUCCUCUUUCCCUCCCAUGAAUCCAUUCCCACAAUUCUACCGCUCCGACCAUUUGCAUUACCCCCUUGCCUUUUCUCCUCUCCCUUUCCCUCCUAUGAUGCCUGCUACAAUCCCCACCCCAAUUUCUAUCCCCCCAACCCCAACCCUUAUUCCUCCCCCCUGCCAUUCCAUCCCCUAUGAUUUCCAUCCCAAUUCCCCCAGCCUCCACCGCAUCGAUAGCUCCCACCAUGAGUCCAUCGCCUCUUUCAGACCGUCCCUCAUUCUCCGACAGCUUCACCACCCAUAGUGCAACCCCGACAAUCCUUCACCCUCCGCCGGCUCUCGGCCUCUCCCACCACCAUCUUGUUUAGGGUUCACCCGGACCAGAGGAAAAAGCCGGCGGCGACGAUGGGCGGCAUCAUGAUAGAGGAGCAGCACGCACAGGCAGCCUCCCACCACCGCUCCAUAAAGAAGAUUAAAGUCUACCUCCAAACAAGAAGAUGGUGCACCAGAGAGAGAAAUAUACUGUCAGAAAAGUGCGACAUGGAGGGAGGAUUAACCAAGAUCUAGCCUAUGGUGAUGAUGCUUCUUCAGAGUAUUGAGAUACGACGGACCAGAUAUCCAGCAGCAAGGCUUGACAUAACAUAUGCUACAUAUCCAGCAGCAAGGCUUGACACAACAUAUGCUACAUAUCCAGCAGCAAGGCUUGACAUAACAUAGGCUGCUUUUCUGAAACAGGGUAGCCCUAAUAUUUUUGGUUGUCCAGUGCCUUGUAGCUUUUACGUUUCAGAUAACUGCUUUAACAAGCAUGAACAACAAGGUAUGAUCGACCCUGGCCAUCAGGCAACUUUUGUUUAUUUCAUCCCUACUAUGAAAUAAAUUAGAUCAGUCUUCAUUCACCUUCCCCUUCAGAGGAAAAAUAAGAUAGCAAAAGUAUAGGAACACUUGUUCAUUCAUGCACUCACAAUUUCUAUUGCUUGGUGUCUAGAUCUUGAAAACGUAGCCAGAUGUGAUUUUUUUUUUUUAAAUUCUAAAAUUUACAGAUUUUUAAGAGUGUAAGAUAAAGGGGGUUGAGAUUUGACUACUCUCUAAUCAGCAUGGAUUUGGACAAAUUAUGUAGCAACUCUUCUUUUUUUAAAAAAAAUUACAUGUUAAGCUUCCAUGCUAGGACUCUAAGAAACAGAUGCAAGAGAGAUUAGGUAGCACUGGGACUCUAAGAAAAAGAUAAAGUUAAAAGUUGAACAUUUUCUUUCUCACAUGCUUAUCACAUAAGCAAACCAUGGAAUGCCUUCCCCUUCAGAGGUAUUACGGACACUCUGGAAGACCUCUUGUAUAUAGUAUAGAUUUGUUUACUUUUACUAAGCUAAAAUUACUGACUUGAUACUUGUUGUUGAUAGCCAGCAAAAUUCUUCUACUACUGCUUCUGGGUUAAACUAACUUGCGAAUGCUGACUGAAUGCCCUAUUCCGCCUAAUACAUAUUGAAGAAAUUUCUUUCAGAUUUUUGAUUACUUACAUGAACCUCCAGUAUACUGCUGAUAACAUUUUAGGUUCUGACAGGAAAUACUGUAACUAAUCUAGAAUAUAUACGAUCUUCUUGUCAUGGCUGCAGGACUGUGUAUUUCCAAAUUUCAAUAGGCCGAACCAAAAUAUCAUAAAUUUGUAACUGCAUGCAAGGCUAUUAGCAACCCUACUUCUAGAUUCAUAAAAACUAAUACACAUCAUUUGAAAUAUAACAUAUUUAAAAGGCAGUGGUGUUAGAAGGAAUCCAACUAAUUUGAUAAAAAAUAGGAAAAAGGUGUAAACUUUGUAAUUUCAAAA